rnacentral:rRNA from 1 species
UACGAGGGGGGCAAAUGUUGUUCGGAAUCACUGGGCGUAAAGGGAGCGUAGGCGGGUGUUUAAGUUAGGUGUUUAAUCCUGGGGCCCAACCCCAGUCGUGCACCUAAAACUGGACAUCUUGAAUAGUGGAGAGGUCAGUGGAAUUGGGGGUGUAGCGGUGGAAUGCGUAGAGAUCCCCAAGAACACCAGUUGCGAAGGCGGCUGACUGGACACAUAUUGACGCUGAGGCUCGAAAGCUAGGGGAGCAAACAGG